GUGCCAGCAGCCGCGGUAAUACGGAAGGGGCUAGCGUUGUUCGGAAUCACUGGGCGUAAAGCGCGCGUAGGCGGCUUGGCAAGUGCGGCGUGAAAGUCCUGGGCUCAACCUGGGGACGGCGCUGCGGACUGCUUGGCUGGAGUCCGGAAGAGGGUGGUGGAAUUCCGAGUGUAGAGGUGAAAUUCGUAGAUAUUCGGAGGAACACCGGUGGCGAAGGCGGCCACCUGGUCCGGUACUGACGCUGAAGCGCGAAAGCGUGGGGAGCAAACAGGAUUAGAAACCCGCGUAGUCC
rnacentral:rRNA from 1 species